GCCUGACGGAGCAAUACCGACGUGAGGGAGGAAGGCGUCUUAGGGUUGUAAACCUCUUUCGUACAGGGAAGAAAAAAAUGACGGUACCUGAGGAAUAAGCAUCGGCUAACUCCGUGCCAGCAGCCGCGGUAAUACGGAGGAUGCAAGCGUUAUCCGGAAUGAUUGGGCGUAAAGGGUCCGCAGGUGGCUAUGUAAGUCUGCUGUUAAAGAACCUAGCUUAACUAGGUAAAAAGCAGUGGAAACUACAAGGCUAGAGUGCGUUCGGGGUAGAGGGAAUUCCUGGUGUAGCGGUGAAAUGCGUAGAUAUCAGGAAGAACACCAGUGGCGAAGGCGCUCUACUAGGCCGCAACUGACACUGAGGGACGAAAGCUAGGGGAGCGAAUGGGAUUAGAUACCCCAGUAGUCCUAGCCGUAAACGAUGGAUACUAGGCGUGGCUUGUAUCGACCCGAGCCGUGCCGGAGCUAACGCGUUAAGUAUCCCGCCUGGGGAGUACGCACGCAAGUGUG
rnacentral:rRNA from 1 species